rnacentral:rRNA from 1 species
AUGGCGAGGCAUCGCCUCCUCGCCGUGCUCCUCAUCGGCAUAGUUGCAGCCUCCGCCUUCAACCAAGCAGCUGUGGCUGGCCGAGGCCUUGCUGCCAUCGAGAAGUUUGCAGAGCUAGAGCCAAAGCCAGAACCUAAACAAGAGCUAAUGCCCAAACCUAUGCCACACACAGAGCCAGAGCCAUGCAAACCUGAACCGACGCCCAAACCCAAACCAAAGCCCGAACAAAAGCCUGGACAUAAGCCUGAGCCAGAACCCAAGCCCAAGCCGAUGCCAAAACCGAAGCCCGAGCCCUGCUCCAAACCAAAGCUGGUGCCAAAACCCGAACCAAAGCCAGAGCCCAAGCCUGAACCUGAACCGAAACCGAAGCCGCCUCCAAAGUGCAAACCACCGACAACGCACAAUUGA